rnacentral:rRNA from 1 species
GUAGUGCGGGGGCAGCGGACGGGGUAGUGUGUAGGGGGCUGGGGUUGUUCGGAAGUAGUGGGUGGAAAGGGUUCGUAGGCGGUGCGGCAAGUCGGGAGUGAAAUCUCUGGGCUUAACCCAGAGGCUGCUUCCGAAACUGCUGUGCUUGAGUGUGGGAGAGGCGCGUGGAAUUGCAGGUGUAGCGGUGAAAUGCGUAGAUAUCUGCAGGAACACCCGUGGCGAAAGCGGCGCGCUGGACCACUACUGACGCUGAGUGAACGAAAGCUAGGGGAGCAAACAGGAUUAGAUACCCUGGUAGUC